rnacentral:rRNA from 1 species
CCCUGAUGUUAGCGGCGGACGGGUGAGUAACACGUGGGUAACCUGCCUGUAAGACUGGGAUAACUCCGGGAAACCGGGGCUAAUACCGGAUGGUUGUUUGAACCGCAUGGUUCAAACAUAAAAGGUGGCUUCGGCUACCACUUACAGAUGGACCCGCGGCGCAUUAGCUAGUUGGUGAGGUAACGGCUCACCAAGGCAACGAUGCGUAGCCGACCUGAGAGGGUGAUCGGCCACACUGGGACUGAGACACGGCCCAGACUCCUACGGGAGGCAGCAGUAGGGAAUCUUCCGCAAUGGACGAAAGUCUGACGGAGCAACGCCGCGUGAGUGAUGAAGGUUUUCGGAUCGUAAAGCUCUGUUGUUAGGGAAGAACAAGUACCGUUCGAAUAGGGCGGUACCUUGACGGUACCUAACCAGAAAGCCACGGCUAACUACGUGCCAGCAGCCGCGGUAAUACGUAGGUGGCAAGCGUUGUCCGGAAUUAUUGGG